AGGUUGCCCAAAAUUACCCGAAGAAGAUUUUCAACAUUGAAACUUUUGCUUUGAUAACAAUGGAACUUUGUAUACACUACCUUUUUAAAAUAUUUCAUAGGUUUUCAUCACCAGUUUAUCACAAGAGUUCAUUGAGGAUGAGAGCUUCCAAUCAAUAGGGAAGUCAAGUAGCUUCACAGUGUCACCAGUUUAAAUUGAAACCCUUUGUUAUGAAACUCAAUUUAAAGUUUUCGUUAUGUAAAUGCACUAGACGGAUUUGGUUUUUAGUUAGAUAUAUUUAGUGUUGCAACUUGUGAAUUGACCUUUGAUUCAUUUUGGUUGUUACUGUUAUUAGUUAGUUAACAGAGUAAAGUUGGAAGAUAUUAUUUUA